rnacentral:rRNA from 1 species
AGCGAACGCUGGCGGCAGGCCUAACACAUGCAAGUCGAACGAAGUCUUCGGACUUAGUGGCGGACGGGUGAGUAACACGUGGGAACGUACCUUUUGGUUCGGAACAACUCAGGGAAACUUGAGCUAAUACCGGAUGAGCCCUUAGGGGGAAAGAUUUAUCGCCGAAAGAGCGGCCCGCGUUAGAUUAGCUAGUUGGUGAGGUAAAGGCUCACCAAGGCUACGAUCUAUAGCUGGUCUGAGAGGAUGAUCAGCCACACUGGGACUGAGACACGGCCCAGACUCCUACGGGAGGCAGCAGUGGGGAAUCUUGCGCAAUGGGCGAAAGCCUGACGCAGCCAUGCCGCGUGAAUGAUGAAGGUCUUAGGAUUGUAAAAUUCUUUUACCAGGGACGAUAGUGACGGUACCUGGAGAAAAAGCCCCGGCUAACUUCGUGCCAGCAGCCGCCGUAAGAC